ACGGGAAGACAAGUCACGCCGGACGAUACCAGUCACCGGCAAUCGCGGCUCUGCGACACGUAACGUCAACGCGACAACACGGUGUUUGAUCGCCCGUGUUAUAAGAAUGUAAGAACCACGACCGACAAUCAUCCCACGUUGGAUACGCCAGCCCUCGUCCGACCACGGAGAUCGACCGAUCAUCAUCUCCAUCACCAGCACGCCAUCGGCAACGGUUACGCCAACCAUACACCUGCGAGGACGAUCUACAAUCAACCUCCGCCAGGUCCGCGUCACCUUUUGCGCUAAAAGAUAAAGUCAGUAAGGAACUAAAUAGAUUGGUUAAGGUAGAUAAUCUUAGUAGUAAUUGAAACAUCUGAGUGGAAAACAUCUGUUGUAUCAGUAUGUAAAGCAGAUGGGUCAAUUAGAUUUUGUGGUAACUACAGUCUACAAGGUGACACUAAAUACAUUUUUAAAAAUUGAUAUAUAACCAAUUUUUAGGUAAAUGAUUAAUUAAUUAUUAUAUUCCAAAGAGCUAAACUAUUUUGUACUUUAGAUUUAUCUCAACAAUACCUACCUACAGUUGCCUUUAAGUAUUAAUAGUCAAAAACUCACUACUACACGUAAGGGAUUAGGUAUAUAUGUAUAAGUGAUUGCUUAAUGAAGUAGCUUCUGCUCUUCGGAUGUUACUAAGAGAAAUGGAUAGUAUGUUGGGUGAUGUUGAAGGAGUUGGUUUUUAGUAUUUAUUUACUUGGUCUACACCGAAAAUCAUACGCAUACAUAGAUAAUAACACAGCACGUUUCUGUAACAUUGAACCUGUUAGGUACUACUGUUGUUCCUUUCUAUAGAUUAAAUAUUUCUCUUAACGCUUUAGUAUAUAAACAUAAUAGGAUUUGUUACCAUAUAUAUAUUUAUGAAAUUUUUUUAAUGCAAAUACUAUUUCUAACACUUCCUUAUGUUUACUUUUAUUCCGCUGGUAAUAGUGAAUUUGAUGCAAAUAACACUGAUUUUUAUAACCCAUCAAUUACUUUCGAGAAUACUGCUUCAACUCCAUAUUUUGAACUUUACUAUCUGAGCAUACUACUAACGGCUUUUCUUUUAAUCAUAAAUCUCUUGUAAUGUCUCCAAGACUAAAGAUUCGUUUGGAUACAAUAAGUAACUCACGUGGUUAAUUUUUCAUUAAUACAUAUUUAACACGCGAGCCUACACUACGAACAUAAUACACAAAUGCUACUUAACGCUCUCUUAGCAUUACAUGAAAAAUACGUUACAACACAAUAUUCAUAUUAUACAGUAUAGCCAACUUAUACAUUACAGACCCUCAGUAACAAAAUUAUUAAAGAGAUUUUGCAUUAGAAAUAGUUUCUGAAGGUUAAUUAAAAUUACCAAAUAAUAAAAAUUUAGCAUUCCGGGAAUUAUACCCACGAUAUCAAAAUAAGAAGUCUAAAUAUCUACUGAUAAGCUGAUAGGAAAAUACACGAAACUAAUACAUAAUUUUUAUCUAAUUUUAUUGAAACAAAUAAAAUUUCUAAUGGACAAUACGUAAUAAUUGUGACAGUUGUACACGCUGUCUUUAUAAUUAUUAUUAUUGUUAGAUUUAUAUUCAAUAUGGUUUGUCAUAUAGUUUUCUUCUCACUCAUGUUAAUAAAUAUGAUUAUGAGUUCUUGACAGCAGUUCCUUGACAAGUAUUUACUAUUUAAAACCAAAUACAAAAUUCGUGGGCUUCACAUAUAAUAUUUAAUGGCAAAAAAGUAACAGUUGUAACAAUAGUUGGUACUAGGCGGAAAGGUACCUAUGUAACUCCAUGAUAGACACCUCAAGUCAAAAAUGUUAUAUUAAUUGUGGUUCUUCUCCGAGAGAAAUUAAUAGUAUUGAACAAUUAAAAAAUAGAUUAGUUAACCACGAAUCGUUGAAAUUUAGACCGGCCACACUUCACACAUAAAUACGAUUCUUUGAAUGUUUGUUAUACGAUUCAUAUCGUUUGAAAUGCAAAACUUGGCAUAUAUGUUAGAACACCAGCACGAAAGCUAAGUUCUGCACAACGAAAAAAGUACAUUCAAGAAAGUUUUCGCACAGAAAUGGGUUUAUUGGUCGAUGUUGUGCUACAAGAUAAAAACAAAUUAAUAUUCAUUUGGUAAAAUAUGAACUAUGUAGAUUGUAGAUGUAUUUACUCUUACAAAUAUAUUUUCCGGUAAUACAAAGAUAGUAACACGGCAAAAAGAUUUUUCCAAAAAA